rnacentral:rRNA from 1 species
AACGAACGCUGGCGGCAUGCCUAACACAUGCAAGUCGAACGAGACCUUCGGGUCUAGUGGCUCACGGGUGCGUAACACGUGGGAAUUUGCCUCGGGGUAUGGAAUAACUCAGGGAAACUUGAGCUAAUACCAUAUAAUGUCUUCGGACCAAAGAUUUAUCGCCCUGAGAUAAGCCCGCGUAGGAUUAGCUAGUUGGUGAGGUAAAGGCUCACCAAGGCGACGAUCCUUAGCUGGUCUGAGAGGAUGAUCAGCCACACUGGGACUGAGACACGGCCCAGACUCCUACGGGAGGCAGCAGUGGGGAAUAUUGGACAAUGGGCGAAAGCCUGAUCCAGCAAUGCCGCGUGAGUGAUGAAGGCCUUCGGGUUGUUAAAGGACUCUUUUACUCGGGUACGAUAAUGACGGUACCGAGA